rnacentral:rRNA from 1 species
UACGAAGGGGGCUAGCGUUGCUCGGAAUCACUGGGCGUAAAGGGCGCGUAGGCGGCCAUUCAAGUCGGAGGUGAAAGCCCAGGGCUCAACCCUGGAAUUGCCUUCGAUACUGUUUGGCUAGAGACCGGAAGAGGUAAGUGGAACUGCGAGUGUAGAGGUGAAAUUCGUAGAUAUUCGCAAGAACACCAGGGGCGAAGGCGGCUUACUGGUCCGGUUCUGACGCUGAGGCGCGAAAGCGUGGGGAGCAAACAGG